AUCACCCGCUGUAACGCACUGCAUGAUAUUAAACCUUGAUGCGUGCAUGCAUUAGUUUACGGGUGUGCGCAGCGGGAGAAAGUGCACCAUUUCCAAAUUAGCAAGGCAACUUUCACACAUCGCUGACCGACCGGUUAUGCUGCACUUUACUAAGAGGGCUAUGAAUGAUUGAUCAGACAGGUGGGAUCGAGUAUGGAAUGAUUUAGAGGCGAUGAGGAGGGACGCGUAUACCGUCCGGAUGCCACCAAAGUGGAACCACAAUUAAGGAGAGAGAGAGAAAGAGAUCGGUGCGUUUUACUCACUCGCCCCCGGUGCUUCAGAGGAGCAUCCCGGUCUCUCAGGGCCAGCUCUUCAGAUGAGUUCUCCUGGGACAGCGCGCCUGGAUCCUCACUAUCAUUCUUUGCAAAAGGGUUCCGGUCGUCCGUCCCUCCGUAUGUAGAGCACAAGUGACAGCAGCGGAUUCCUAUUUGAGGGGAUGCUGACGCGCAACCGGAGGGGCUCGCCUCCUGCCUUUCUCAUCUGGCUCCAUCAGCACUCGGUUAGGCAGCACCAUGUGACUGAAACCGCUGUCCAUCCGAAAGGCACAGCAAAAUUAGUUUCCGGUAGAGCUUUCAAAAUAAAACAUCCUUUAAAAGCCUCA